UACCGGGUUUCGCCGGGAAGGGUGGAGGCCUAAGACUCGGGGCUGGCGUGGAUCCCCAGCUCUGCACCUUACGUCCUCUUUUUCUGUGCAAUGGGAACAGUGGUUCCUCCCUCACUGCAUCGUGGCGUUAGUUUAAACGGGCUUUCGAAGAUACUUAUCGAGCUCCUAGAUGCGCCGCCCUAGCGCUGAAGGCGGGAAUGGACUGAAAGGGGAAAGAGAAACGUCACCCAACAGUUUGUCUUCCUGGACACCUGCGCGGGACACUCUGAGGCUAAGGUUUUAUUUAUUUGUCGGAGAGCAAGAGAGCGGGCACGAAC